UCCCUGGUGGCUCAGAUGGUAAAGCAUCUGCCUGCAAGGCAGGAGACCAGGGUUUGAUCCCUGUGCUGGGAA
rfam:Ovis aries breed Texel chromosome 4, whole genome shotgun sequence.